rnacentral:misc_RNA from 1 species
AAUGAACUUCAAGAGGCUUUCACUAACUGAUAUCAAGAUUGACAUAAAAAGAGUUCCUAAGAAGAAAACUCUAAUUGAAGCCAUGGAGAAAGCUGACGUGAAGAACAAGUGGGAGAACAGUUCCUGGGGCAGGAAGCUCAUUGUGCAGAAGAGAAGGGCCUCACUUAAUGAUUUUGAUAGGUUCAAGCUCAUGUUGGCAAAGAUUAAGGUUUGAAAUGUUUCAGUUUUGUCUUUGCUUUACUAAUUAUUUCAUCGUGUUUGUAAAAGGACCAUACUGGUUAAAAUACAACUCAUAAGCUUCAUAUUAUUUUACAUCAAGCACAUUGCAUUCAUCCUUUCAUGGUCAAACACCUCUGCCCAACAUAUUGUGUUGUGCAAAGCCAACUCCUCAUCCUCAUUAAGCAAAGCCCUUUGGGUAUUAGUUGCCUUAACAUGAUUUUUGAGCCUUGACUGGAGACUUCAAUGCAUCUCUAGCAGGGUGAAAACUAUUGGAGUUAUCACAGCUGUGAACAGAAUUAUCUGAUUAGCUUUAUUUGAUAAAUCUGUUUUGAACCAUCUAAAAAUAAAAGGAUGACUUAAGCAGUUAGCUCUCAGCUUUGGCACUCUGUUCUCCUUGUGGCUUAGCUGCUUUGUUAGUUUCUCAAAACAAUGGUGAAUAAUUAGUCAACAGAGCACUCUUGUAUUAGUACAAGCUCUCUUAUAAAUUACACCUAUAAUAAACAUUUCGCUCGAGAAGACUGAUUAGUGUGACCUUCAACUUGACAUACCAUUUUUUAUUUGAAAGCUUAAUGUGUUAUAAUUGUUGAUGCAGAGAGGAGGAAUCAUCAGGCAGGAGCUUGCAAAGCUUAAAAAGGAGGCAGCUUAAAAUUUGCAUACUUGUCAGUUUCUCAAUUUUUUCUUGAAUGUAAAACACUUGAGAAUUUAGAUUUUUGGUUUUUCAUUUCAUUAAUGUGCUAGCUAGUUAUGGAAACCAAUAAUGACUGACCUUGCUGAAAUGCAUUAAUGACAGUUAUGGAGCAUUUUUUUUUAAA